rnacentral:lncRNA from 1 species
UAAUCUUCGUGUUUGGGCUUAUCGUGCUAAGGAUGUCCAAAAGCCGCACUGCAACAACGAGCGUAAAUUCUACUCUGCCACCUAAUUUAGGCGUUUCUCCAUUCGCACAAAUAUAAAAUUUGAAUAAUUCGCACAGGCCCCGAACCUUCUGCAUUCCUUAAUUUAAUGUUCAGGUGAGCAAAAUGCAUGUUGUAGUUCCCCUAAAAAAAGUUUGAAUGGGAGCGACUGUUGCUACAGUCACAUUAGCAGAAGGAAUAGAGGAAUCUACAGUGUUUUCCUUGAGAUCAAUAUUGUUCAUAUAAAUAAAUCUAUAGACUGUAAAAAAACUAAAUGGUGAUACUUAUCGACAGUACCUCUUUAGUAUAUGCGAGAGCCUGAGUGCAACUUCACGUUAGUAGUCGCUGAGAGUAGCAUGUACUAUUGCAGUGCUCGUCUGCUCGAGAUGAAACUGCACCUAUUAGCAUGUAUUAUUGCAGUGCCCACUCUAUGUCAUUUGCAUACUCAGAGGACCACCACCAGUGUUGCCUUUGAACUGGCUAGGGUUGAGCAUAACACCUCACAUGAUGUCCAAUUUUGUACCUAAAAGUAGAGCAG